ACUGCAGCGUAUUCUUGAAGAAGAGGAAAAAAAGAAACAAAAUAACUUUGUCCAUGUCUGCACAGAAUAGCUAAAAGCCAAUAGCAAAGCAA